rnacentral:tRNA from 1 species
GCGGGAGUGCCGGAGCGGUCAAUAAACUUUUGAAAAAAGUUUAAUCAAAAGCUUGACUAGACGGGAUAGGCUAAGGACCUAUUGGCUUAGUGCCUACGCAGGUUCAAACCCUGUCUCCCGCA